AUUUUAUACAACUGUCUCAGAUCAGAAAAAAUAAGCCAAGCAGCAAGAGAAAACUAACCAAGACACUUUAACAAAACUCACUAAUACCAUGCAAAUAUCUGUUUUACAUAACGUCGAUCGUACAGAAUAAUUUCUAACGGUUUGCAUUUUGUGUUUCUGCGGCAAUCAUUUACUGACACAGAUUAUUAUUUGUGCGUAUCAGAUGGCAAACCUAUUUUUCAACUUCGAUCCUUCUGGAAAGUACGACAUUUUGGCUUUUUAUGCAUGUGACUUUAGUUCAAUCCAAGCGUCUCGAUCACGAAAACGAGGCUCUAUCACUGAGCUCCAUAUAUAUCUGGAGUGGGAACUUGGUUGCUCAGAGUGAAGCCAGUUUCGUGUUUCCGCCAUCUUGGCAAGGAGUGUGUUGAAAUUUCGCAUUUUGACUUCGAUUUAAAGAAUAAUAUUGUGAUUUUAUGAACUGAAAACUUGAUUAGUGAUACGGUCCAUUAGAAAAAAAUGGAAUUAGCUUGGGAAAAUGGUCUAAAAACUGUUUACGACCUUCAGAGCUAUUGGAUGUCAAUGGCCGCCAUCUUGGCUUCACUUUUCUCAUUGACCGAAUGACUGAAGUUCUUACUCCAGGUAUAUAUAGAGUUCAGUGGGCUCUAUAGCCAUAGUGACGUACUUCUCGCGGAAGGGUGUAUUCUGAUGCUAUGACGCGAAUUUAAAUACAACUAUAGGUAUAUAUUGAUAUCUUUAAAGUAAUUUACACGAGAGAUCUUUGAAUGCAUGUAAUCUUAUCAAUAGUAUUUGCUUUGUAGAGAAUAGAAGCAAAAAUAUAUUUUUGAGAUAGUUAUUUUCAAAUGACAGUUUGAACUUUUUCAUGUACUUUUAAUCGUAUAUACAAUACAUUAACUUGUUAAGUGCUUUUUAUCGAAGUACAAUAAAUUAAAUCAUAAUUGUUUGUAAAAAGUAAAAACUUCAAAUAUAUUUUGUCG